GGCUGUUCUCGGGCUGUGGUCACCCCUAUCAAACGAGCGCAAGACCAGUCUAAAGCUUAUUUAUUUGGCCUUUAGACGUUCCAUACUGUGCUUAACGCUUUAUUUUUAUGACAUAAAUAUUUCCAUGCGUCGUCUGCAUGCGAAAGAAGCCGGUAGGUUUUCCAUAGUCAACCGGAGCCAAUCAAGAGAACCUCCCGCUGAACCAGUGCGCUUCUACGAAUUGCUACAGGUGGGGCACGAAGGGCAGGAGCCUGGCUUGACGGGCCGAGGGGGCAAGCAUGCAGAUGGAGCAGUACCAGGUGGUGAGCUCGGUCGGGGCAAGCCCCUCGCAGGGGCAGCCUCUGGCUGUGGCUGCCACUGACCAACAGCAGCAGCAGCAGGUGGCUGUCAUGCAGUCCCUCUCGGGGACGCCCAUAGCCCAUGUCACUACUGCACAGCCACAGGUGCUCCAAGUCUCCCAAGGCAAUGGCCAGACUCAGCUGCUGCAAGCAGGCGGCCAGCAGAUCAUGGUGCAGACAUUGCCAAAUGGCCAGACUGCUGCCAUUCAGAUACAAGGCCAGCCAGGCCAGCAGAUACCACAGCUUCAAGUGAUCCCCAUCAGCCAGCUCCAGGGCCAGCAGGGCCAGCAGAUCAUUAUCCAGCAACCCCAGCAAGGCCAAAUUCUGCAAACAUCAGAUGGACAAACGCUCGUGUACCAGCCUGUCACAGUUGAUGGCACCAACUUUGUGCAGGGCCCUGGAGGCAUAAUUCAGAUUCCUCAGGGUGCGCCACAAAUGGUGCAGGCAGCACAGGCAACACCACAGACCAUAACCCUGCCAUCCUCUGUGGGCGGAGGAAACAUUGUCAUGUUCCAACAGGUGAUGCCCAACCAUAACGCCGUGGCGGCAGCUCAGGCAGCGAAUGCCGGGGCAGCAACGCUGCAGGCAGUACAACGCAUCCCGCUGCCAGGAGCCACCACGACCACCACGACCGCUCCUGCCGACGUAGUGGAAGAGGAGCCCCUGUAUGUCAAUGCCAAGCAGUACCAUCGCAUCCUAAAGCGACGCCAAGCCAGGGCACGACUCGAAGCCGAAGGACGCAUACCCAAGGAGCGGAGGAAGUACCUACACGAGUCGCGGCACCGGCACGCCAUGAACCGGAUCCGCGGCGAGGGUGGGCGAUUUCAUUCGGGUAGCUCGCGCAAGGAUCAUGGAGAGAACUCGCCUGGUGAUGCUGGCAGCAACCACAACUCCGUGGAUGGCUCCUCACAGCACGAUGACGUCUCUAACGGGCUUCACUCCCUUGAGGUACUCGAGAACCAAUCGUCAAAGUACACCUUCACUGUGCAGAAUGGUCUCAUCAACGUGAUGCCCUCAGAACUUAUGGUUGCGAGUGGAGAUUCAAACUGACAGCCGGUGACCAGCAGCAACCAUCAUCAAAACUUUGUCAUCAUCAUAAUCACCGUCAUCACUCAACCUUCGCAUCUGUACAAAGGACACCACACCUGGCAUUCAGAAUGCAUUGCAACCAUAUGUACAUAUCUCAAAAAGAAGCUACUGACAUUGUCGACGAAAGAAAGACAUUUGAUGCUGCCACGCGUGUGUUUGACACCUCGACAACUGCUUAUGAUAGUCUGCUUGGACUGUGCAUGGCGGUUGAUGAAAGUCUAGCAGUGCAAGUGCUCCUCCCGUUUCCCUCUGUGCCGAUCAUAGAACUAUACGUAAUGGUUUGUUCCUCAACAAUUUUAUAUUUUCUGAGAUAACUGUCGUGGAUUUGUUUUGUGUGUACAGCAUGCGGGGUUGCAGUAUACUGAAAACAUAUCAAUGCCAACACAUUAGUGGAAAUGUGUUUUUAGGUUAGAUUCCAAAUUUGUGAUUGCCGAUGAAGUGUAUUUGUGUGCUGUAAUUCAAGAACUGAAAAAUUACUUGCAAGGUCAGAAAAUGUACAAACAAUUAAAGUACUACUUUUCUUUUCUAUUGAACACGUGAACCUUUGCUCUGCCUGUUGCAAUUGUUUCGUGCUCUGAGCCUACAACUACUUUACGAUCACAUCAAUGAAGCACUAAAUCUAGUUGAAACGAUGGAAUUCUGCGCCAAGAGAGCUUGAAAGUUUCGUGUUGUGUGAAAUGCUGGGUAUUUUGGUACCACACUUACGCGCUAGCGCCAUUGCUGCCGAGUUAGACCUCGUUUGCUUACAAGUGUGAAAGUGUGCGACAGUAAACGUGCAUGUAUAAACUUCUCAAUAAGAAAGCAAGCAUGCUACAGUCUGGGUUUUGUUUUUAAUGAGUUGUUUGGAAAAGUCAAUGCGUGUCGUGCACACAUUUAUUGUUUGUGCUCUGAUAACAGCAGCAUUUUGUUUGCGCUGGCUAAAAUUAUUGCAAGUUCUACGGACAGGUUAGUAUGGUCCAUGUACCUUGUCUUUUCAGUGCUUGAUGUUGCCCUUUUAAGCAAAAGGCGCGAUGGGUAAAUGCCAUUGAGAGGAUGGAAACUGAAGUGUUGUCCUGUGUGAUUUGUUUUAGUAGUGAAAUAUAGGCCUGUGCCUAAUUCCAAGCAAGCAAGCACACGCUAAUGCAAGCUUUGUACAUAUACGCUGGGAAAUAGUUAAACAAGUGCCAGUAUGCUUUGUUUCUUUUUUUAUAUACAUAUAAUGAAAUGAGUUGAGAGGUGAGUUUUACACUGUUUCACAAGUGAAGAUAUACUUCAGCAAUGCCUGUCGUUUAAGUCACCUUGGUCAUUUGUUAAUGGCAUUGGCAAUUUAUUUUCCGGAAGAAAGCUUCCAGGUGUUGUUGAUACCACUCGUUCGCAUUAUCAACAGAACUGGUACUUAAUGCAAUGAAAUAGCAUGCAAAUUGUACAUCUCCUGAGGUGUUUCACACUGGUUUCAAUUAGAGCUGCUCAGCGAAAUUUGGCCAGCAUACGUAUUGCGUGGCUUUAGCCAUCACAUUGUGUUGUCUAGAGUUAAAUGCUAUGCCAACUAACAUAUGCACUUUUGUAGUUGUACGAAUGGAAAUAUGUUCCCUCUACUGAUCAUACGACGUGCAAGUUGUUCUUAAUUUUGUGUUGUACUGUUGCAGUAGCCUGAAAUGUGUGCUUGUUACAAUUAAAUUUCUUAUUGACGAC
rnacentral:misc_RNA from 1 species